rnacentral:rRNA from 1 species
CAAGCGGCGGAGCAUGUGGAUUAAUUCGAUGCAACGCGAGAACUUACCAGGCCUUGACAUGCAGAGAACUUUCCAGAGAUGGAUUGGUGCCUUCGGGAACUCUGACACAGGUGCUGCAUGGCUGUCGUCAGCUCGUGUCGUGAGAUGUUGGGUUAAGUCCCGUAACGAGCGCAACCCUUGUCCUUAGUUACCAGCACGUUAUGGUGGGCACUCUAAGGAGACUGCCGGUGACAAACCGGAGGAAGGUGGGGAUGACGUUAAGUCAUCAUGGCCCUUACGGCCUGGGCUACACACGUGCUACAAUGGUCGGUACAAAGGGUUGCCAAGCCGCGAGGUGGAGCUAAUCCCAUAAAACCGAUCGUAGUCCGGAUCGCAGUCUGCAACUCGACUGCGUGAAGUCGGAAUCGCUAGUAAUCGUGAAUCAGAAUGUCACGGUGAAUACGUUCCCGGGCCUU